rnacentral:rRNA from 1 species
AUGGCGGACGGCGAGUCGUACAAGUCUUGGUCAUGGUGGCUGGACGCGCUGCAGGCGAUGAGGAGGACGUACUCCAUCCCCAUGGACGCCAAUGAGGCCAGGAUACGCGAGGACGUAGAUUUCGACAACGCAAGGAGGAAGAUCGAGCACGCGAGGCGGCGGCUAAGCGCUCCCAGACCCGCGGCCAGGCCACGGCCUCGGCGGACGAAGCUGCUCGAGUUUGGCGCCUCCCCUCCCCUCCCCUCUGUGUGGUUCCGGGAGAGGAGAGGGCCGAGCGGAGGUGGAGGCGGUGUGGCGUUGGGGGCCAAGACGGGAGACCCCGAGGCGAAGGCGUACCGGCAGAGGCUGGACGGGGAGAAGCUGGAGAUGUACCAGAGGAUGUCCUCGGAGAGGGACGGUUGGUCGACGACGCCCGACCUGGAGGCCUACUUCGCUGCUUGCUAUCGCCAUAAAUGGAGCUGGGCGCAUCUGAGAGGCGCAGGUAGCUCCUACGAGGACACCACGGGCAUCCCUGCCAUGCGCUUCACCGACGCUGAGCCAGCUUGGGACGCCCACCCGACGGGGACUUUGCAGAUCUUUUCCUUCAAAGUCGCCGCAAUAGCAGACGAGCUGCGGUGGCCACUGGAGGUGUAUGGCUUGAUCGCGAUAAGAGACCACCUAGACCGCAGCCGCAAUAUUAUCUUUGCCCGCGGAAGGGAUAACUGCCAAACGAUCACAUCCAUGGAUCCAUACUUGACACUAGCAGGUCCAACUCGUGCUCCAGUGUUGUCUCAUGUGUCGGAUACUGAGGUUGCAACUAGCAAGCUAUCAAGAAUAGAGUGGGCAUUCGCCGUUCUCGCUAAAUCAGUGGAGGCUACAAUCAAUAUACAAGUUAUUCGUGGUUCUUGGCCAGAUGGUUGUCGAGGUAUAUUCAGUGCAAGCACAAUUAGUCUAGAUGGCAGGAAAGUCCCCCUUCUCUCUCUUGAAGAUGGCAAGUUGCCACUUACCACUGAUGAUGACUAA